CACGUAGGGGGCGAGCGUUGUCCGGAUUCAUUGGGCGUAAAGGGCGCGCAGGCGGCCCGGAAAGUCGGAUGUGAAAACUCGAGGCUCAACCUCGAGCGUGCACCCGAUACUGCCGGGCUUGAGGCAGGUAGGGGAGAUCGGAAUUCCUGGUGUAGCGGUGAAAUGCGCAGAUAUCAGGAGGAACACCGGUGGCGAAGGCGGAUCGUCUGGGCCUGUCCUGACGCUGAGGCGCGAAAGCUAGGGGAGCGAACAGG
rnacentral:rRNA from 1 species